ensembl:lncRNA
CCCUGGCCAGUCAUCAUACAGUACUGUAGUCAGACACAUUAGCUCAGCUAGCCUCUCUCCCUCUCCCUGGCCAGUCACCAUACAGUACUGUAGUCAGACACAUUAGCUCAGCUAGCCUCUCUCCCUCUCCCUGGCCAGUCAUCAUACAGUACUGUAGUCAGACACAUUAGCUCAGCUAGCCUCUCUCCCUCCCCCUGCCCAGUCAUCAUACAGUACUGUAGUCAGACACAUUAGCUCAGCUAGCCUCCAAUCUGGUGGAGGGGAAAACAGAGGUUGAAAAGAGGGGCAACUGAGUGAGGAGAGACAAGACAAAUGAGAGGAGUGCCAGUGUGUGUAGGUGGACAGGGAAUGGGGGAAGAAUAGCUCUGUGUGUGUAGGUGGACAGGGAAUGGGCAGCUCUGUGUGUAGGUGGACAGGGAAUGGGGGAAUAGGCAACUGUGUGUAGGUGGACAGGGAAUGGGGAGCUCUGUGUGUGUGUAGGUGGACAGGGAAUGGGGAGCUCUGUGUGUGUGUAGGUGGACAGGGAAUGGGGAGCUCUGUGUGUGUGUGUGUGUAGGUGGACAGGGAAUGGGGAGCUCUGUGUGUGUGUAGGUGGACAGGGAAUGGGGAGCUCUGUGUGUGUGUG